CUAAUACAUGCAAGUAGAACGCUGAAGACUGGUGCUUGCACUAGUCAGAUGAGUUGCGAACGGGUGAGUAACGCGUAGGUAACCUACCUCAUAGCGGGGGAUAACUAUUGGAAACGAUAGCUAAUACCGCAUGACAAUUAAGUACUCAUGUACUAAAUUUAAAAGGAGCAAUUGCUUCACUAUGAGAUGGACCUGCGUUGUAUUAGCUAGUUGGUGAGGUAACGGCUCACCAAGGCCACGAUACAUAGCCGACCUGAGAGGGUGAUCGGCCACACUGGGACUGAGACACGGCCCAGACUCCUACGGGAGGCAGCAGUAGGGAAUCUUCGGCAAUGGGGGCAACCCUGACCGAGCAACGCCGCGUGAGUGAAGAAGGUUUUCGGAUCGUAAAGCUCUGUUGUUAGAGAAGAACGGUAAUGGGAGUGGAAAAUCCAUUACGUGACGGUAACUAACCAGAAAGGGACGGCUAACUACGUGCCAGCAGCCGCGGUAAUACGUAGGUCUCGAGCGUUGUCCGGAUUUAUUGGGCGUAAAGCGAGCGCAGGCGGUUAUUUAAGUCUGAAGUUAAAGGCCGUGGCUCAACCAUGGUUCGCUUUGGAAACUGGAUAACUUGAGUGCAGAAGGGGAGAGUGGAAUUCCAUGUGUAGCGGUGAAAUGCGUAGAUAUAUGGAGGAACACCGGUGGCGAAAGCGGCUCUCUGGUCUGUAACUGACGCUGAGGCUCGAAAGCGUGGGGAGCAAACAGGAUUAGAUACCCUGGUAGUCCACGCCGUAAACGAUGAGUGCUAGGUGUUAGGCCCUUUCCGGGGCUUAGUGCCGCAGCUAACGCAUUAAGCACUCCGCCAGGGGAGUACGACCGCAAGGUUGAAACUCAAAGGAAUUGACGG
rnacentral:rRNA from 1 species